rnacentral:rRNA from 1 species
GAUGAACGCUGGCGGCGUGCCUAAAAAAUGAAAGUCGAGCGAAAAGUUGAGGACUUUGCUCCCCUGACGUUAGCGGGGGACGGGUGAGUAACCCGUGGAAAACCAACUUUUAAGACUGGGAUAACUCCGGAAAACGGGAGCAAAUACCGGAAAAAUAAUUAAACCCCAUGGUUAAUUAGUAAAAGCCGUUUUUGUGGCCCCUUAUAGUGGAUUCCGCGCCGCAUUAGCUAGUUGGCAAGGUAACGGCUUACCAAGGCAACGAUGCGUAGCCGACCUGAGAGGGUGAUCGGCCACACUGGAACUGAGACACGGUCCAGACUCCUACGGGAGGCAGCAGUAGGGAAUCUUCCGCAAUGGGCGAAAGCCUGACGGAGCAACGCCGCGUGAGUGAUGAAGGUCUUCGGAUCGUAAAACUCUGUUAUUAGGGAAGAACAAAUGUGUAAGUAACUAUGCACGUCUUGACGGUACCUAAUCAGAAAGCCACGGCUAACUACGUG